ensembl:lncRNA
GGGUGGUAGUGUCUGAGGUAGAAGACUAUGGGUGGUAGUGUCUGAGGUAGAAGACUAUGGGUGGUAGUGUCUGAGGUAGAGGACUAUGGGUGGUAGUGUCUGAGGUAGAGGACUAUGGGUGGUAGUGUCUGAGGUAGAGGACUAUGGGUGGUGGUGUCUGUCAGGUAGAGGACUAUGGGUGGUAGUGUUUGUCUGGUAGAGGACUAUGGGUAACCAUGCAGUAUACGUUAGGUAACCAUGCAGUAGGUAACCAUGCAGUAUACGUUAGGUAACCAUGCACUAUACGUUAGGUAACCAUGCAGUAUACGUUAGGUAACCAUGCAGUAUUCAGUAGGUAACCAUGCAGUAUUCAGUAGGUAACCAUGCAGUAUUCAGUAGGUAACCAUGCAGUAUUCAGUAGGUAACCAUGCAGUAUACGUUAGGUAACCAUGCAGUAUACAGUAGGUAUGUAUGAAGCUGUGGAUUUGCUAG